rnacentral:rRNA from 1 species
UACAGAGGUCCCAAGCGUUGUUCGGAUUCACUGGGCGUAAAGGGUGCGUAGGUGGUCAGGUAAGUCGGAUGUGAAAUCUCCGAGCUCAACUCGGAAACUGCAUUGGAAACUACCUGGCUCGAGGGUUGGAGGGGGGACUGGAAUGCUUGGUGUAGCAGUGAAAUGCGUAGAUAUCAAGCGGAACACCAGUGGCGAAAGCGGCUUCCUGGUCCAGCACCGACGUUCAGGCACGAAAGCGUGGGGAGCAAACAGG